GUCAGGAAGCCUGCACGAGGGACAACAAUAAAGUUUUUGGGUAGCGCAACUGCGCAACCGCUCGAUUCGAUCGACUAUGUUCUGCGCUGCCUCAUCUUCGAUCUGCACUGCAACGCGUAACCCUGCAGCAAGUCUACACGAGGACGGAGCACUAAUCUGUAAGUCCUAGAUUGGUUUCUUACAAAGUUGUAGGUUACACAAGAUCUAGAAUUGUUACAUACCUAUUAUUAUGGGUUACAUGAUGUUUUGUAUCGUUACGUCUAUUUUGCAUAUGCUAGUUUUACAUACCGUUUACAUGCAUAUGUUAAUGGUUACACCUAGCUAUUUGAAUCUAGAAUUGGGUUACAUAGCAGUAGCAAUGAGUUACGUAAUAUGCCUCAUGUUUAUAUCUGGUAGAAUUUAACACGUAUCUCCAACAUAUUUUGAGGCAGUAUAAAUUUCAAUUCCUUUUGCUGCUCUGUUAAAUACCAUCUUUCGUUGUGGCCCAACACUCUAGUAUGCAUGUAGCACCAAGCUUGUUUGAGCCGCUUUGUGCUCUGAUUUUGCUGUCUGUAUCAGGUUGGACUGUUUCUUUGUCUUGCGAUGUAUAGCUUCAUAUCUUCUAGAGGUUAGCAAAACCCGCGUUCUCUUAAGGCAACUACUCGAAGAAUCUGCAGCGCCCCUGAUAUAUCACUGCUGCAGAAACGAUCUUUAGUACUGAUCUCCAACCCCCUUUAGUAUCGGUUUGGCAAUCAGUACCACUACGUCGGUACUAAAGGGAGUUCUCUAGAAUCGAGUCAAAUAACCGGUACUAAAAGGGCUCCUUUACUACCAGUUGGUAACACCAAUAGGUAGUAACUUUUUUUGCACCCAAAAAAUUAAAGAAAAACAGCUGGGAGGCUCGCGCACACACGCAUCAUGAGUAAUAUGCGCGUGCAUGGUUUGUGGGAUUCCAACCCACGACCAAGCUAUAAGCACGUAGUUACAAAAAAUUAAACACUUAGACAUUUUAGAGCAUCCCAAAUAACUACAAAUUCUAUAGUUUACCAUAUACCAUAAAAUAUUAGUUAAAAUAAGAGCAUACACAUGUCAGAAGAGUCCCAAUGCACCGGUUGAGGAUCAGACCAGGCACUUUGAAUGCACAUGCCAUAAGAUAAUUCUGCAGGACGAUGAUUGCAAUAAUGGACCAUCAAGAAGAUAGGGGCGUGGGGUUGCCUCAUCAAUUAUCACUUGGCGCAACAAGACCAGCAAAGUCUUUAUCGACAGGGGUGGAUCAACGGGUGGGGCGGGCAGAGCUCCAGUCCUCCUACCGCCGCUCGAACAAUGGAGCCCCCCUUAGCCCCUCCAUAAAUUUUUAGGUAGAAGAAAAAAGAAGAGAAGGGAAGGAAGGGGAAGAAGAGGGAGCCCCUCCUAAGUAGGUCGCCAUCAUGCUUCCCAACGCAUGAUCGCCGCACCGCAUCCAUUCCUCUACAAGCCUCCAGCGUCUCUCCCGCCGCUACCUCUGAACCAUGUGCAGCUGCAGACCCAACUAGUGUCUUGUCGCCCAUCUCAGUCCCAACAGAGCGGCGGCGGUUGCCAGCACAAAUCUCCCUCCGCCUCUUCUUCAUGGUCGAUGGCCGCCACAAGCAUAAACCUCUCCUUCGCAUCCACGCAAAAGGGUCGCUGGAGUGCCUUCUUGCCUUGCUUCUCAGCCUCCUUCACUUGCGGCCAGCCAAGAACCGUGCCACCACCUCGGGUGCGCGCCACCACUCCAGGGCUGCUACCCCAUGCCUGCGGCCGCCACCAGCCACCACGCGUGUCCAACCGCGUCGCACCGCUUCCCUGCUCUGUGCCACCACUGCUGUUGUACCACCAGCUCCACCACCUUGGGCUGGUCGCCAGGGUGACUGAUUGGUGGAUUAUUACUAAAAAUAAGUUCCUUAUUAUCUACAACUACUAUUAACUCAUGGAUACAUGCAUCUUUUGCUUCUCCUGCUAAUAUGUCCUAAAAUAUCUAGGAUGCCUUAUAUUUCUGGAAAGAGGAAGUAUUUGAAUAAAAUGAACCAAUUUAAAAAAAAUGUGUUAUACACUACUACAGAAAGACCUAUCAGUGUCAAACCCAAAAAUGCCGUCACCGCCAGUUUUGGGCACCGUUGGUGAAAGGUUGGCGGUGAUGGGUAUCCCCUUCAACAACGGCACUGGAGCCGACGGUGAUUGACAUUAGAAAACAAAAAAGGGGACCCCACCUAGCCACCCCUGCAACCCGGCCGGCCGUGCCUCCCCUCGUCCCUGCCACCUCGCCUCCCCCGUGACCCCCCUCCGGCGCCCUUGCGCCUAGCCCCCUCGCCUGCCCGGCCAGCCACCCUCGUCACGAGAGAGAGAGAGGUGCAUGUUGUAUAAUUGCGUGAAUUUUUUAAUGUUUAAUUUCAUGUAAGUUUCAUGUAAUAAAUUGUACAAGAUUUAUUGUAUAUAUGAAUUCCAUAUAUAUAUAUAUAUAUAUUUAUAAUUUAAUGUAUGGUUUCAUGUGUAUAUUUCAAUCAUGUGUAUAUUUAGUAGAUUGCCGAUUUUCUUUUUCUACUAGACAAGGAUUGAUGUAUAAUUACGUGUAUAUGUUUAUUGUACAGGCAAUUAGGACAAGUUUUGUAUAAAUUUCUUUUAUUUUAUGGUUGUUGUAUGGUUUCAAGUAUAUACAUUUAUUGUAUCACUAAUUGUAUUAUUAGUUAAGAUGGGAGCCAAAGAGGAUGAAAGGUAUAUAAUGGAGCAGAUUAUUGCUGGCGGUAGUGGCUCAAACGUUGCAAGAACCUACACCGAGGGUGAGGGUAGCUAGGUGGACAUGUACCUCAACAUCUCCAGUGGUGGCAAUGAUGAUGAGGAGCACGAGCAUGACAUUUAUGAUAAUGCGGAACAAGACAUUGCAGAAUUGGAAGGUUCUAAUGAGGUGUGCUUCAUGUUGAUGAUCUGGUUGGCUUUUUUUCUUUGGUCACACCUUAGUUACCAUAGAACUUCGUCUCGGGAGAAGAUUAGUGGUGCUAUGGUGAUUGGAAUUUUAUUGCCUCCAAACUGAUUUCCAUCGAAUCAUAUCCCUUGUAUUUAUCUUCUUUUUAUUUGUGAGAGCAUCUCCUUUAUGCUUCCAAAACAAUUCAAGUGCACAUACUACACCUAGGGUGACGAUUAGGAGUAGAAACAAUUGCCAACAAACCAACACCACAUCCUAAGAUUCUUAACUUGUGGCAUAAUUAGUCUAGUAAAAAGAAAGAUAAAAACCUAAUGGGUGUACGUGAGUGCAAUGUGUAUAUGCAUAUGAGU
rnacentral:lncRNA from 1 species